UGUGUAGGCGGUUCUUUAAGUUUGCUGUGAAAUCUCCCGGCUUAACCGGGAGGGUGCGGUGAAUACUGAGGGACUAGAGUACGGGAGAGGAAAGUGGAAUUCCUGGUGUAGCGGUGAAAUGCGUAGAUAUCAGGAGGAACACCGGUGGUGUAGACGGCUUUCUGGACCGUAACUGACGCUGAAACACGAAAGCGUGGGUAGCAAACAG
rnacentral:rRNA from 1 species